GCAACAGAACUGAGAAGCAGCGAAAGUGCAUCUGGAGCAGAGAGGAGAAUUCAGAGGGUGCAGAGACCGCUCAGCCCCACAGCUCUGCUGCAGUCCUCCAUAGCACAGUCACGACGAGAUGGAUCCUGAAGCCCUCACAAAUCUACCAGCUCUAGUCACUUAUUUUAUAUGGUGCACUCAAAUUUGAGUCAUUUGAUAGGUAUUCUUUACAUUCUAUACACACACGUGCACACACUUACAUACACACACACACACACACACACACACACACACACACACACACAAAUGAGUUUUAUUUGAAAUGGAGAGAAUCCCCAUUCCAAACCAGGAGUCAUCGGAGGCCAGUAUGUGUCUUGUUCCCCACUUUGGGCAAGGGUACCUAGCCAUGUGCAAAGUGAGGCUUACCUAUGGUCUGUCUUUUGAGGCGAUCCAAGGUGAGGUCUGAAGUGCUUGAGUCCAGAGAAGGUGCUGGUAAGAAAUAUUGCAAGGUCGGGUGGGGCAGGGAUAUGUUGAUAAAACAGAUGAGAUCCCCUGAUAUGACAGUGUGGGGUUUCCUCUGAUUGGCCCAUGGUGACUUGCCCCAUUUCCACCAAGUACAAAGACACAGGGACCGCCAAUUGUGUUAAGGAGGAACUGGAUUUCUCUAUCCUCUGGCCCCACUCUCUAUUGCAAACUAUUUGUUGUAUAUUGAUCAUUGUUACCACAGAACUUACUCUUGGCAUGCUCAGAUCCUUGCUACCUCUGCCACCCCUGCUGCUGCUUCUGCUUCUGCUUCUGCUUCUGGUGCUUCUGCUUCAAUGUUUUGUCCAUUGCAGGCUUGGAAGGGCCAGGAGCUUCUGGAGCCAAUAAGUGAGCAUUCCAAAGCCUCAUGCUCAGGAAACUGCAGAAAACACCAGUAAUGUCACUCAACACAGAAUAACCCUUGCAGCCAGAGUCACCUGCAGGGACUUGGGAAAGGCUAUACCUUUUUGAGCAAAGAAAACCUGGGUGGAAGAGAGGCACACAGUUGGUGCUUCUUGGCUCAGGCCAUAUGGGAAGGGACGGUCAUUUACAGAUUCACAACUGGCCUUUUCUAAUUCUUUGAAAAACUCCUUAUUUUCAGAUCUCUUUCAGGGAAGAGGCUCCAGUUGGUUGAUACAGAUGUGGGGCAAAGGCAGACCCACAAGUGCAUGGGUCAAGAAGUACAAGAAAAGAAAUAUGUGUUCUGAUUCCAGGAGCAUAUAGCACCUUAUCCUGACCAGUGUCGUGAGAGAACACUAUCUGAGGCAGCUUGAAGAACUUCCUCACUGGGAACAGUUCCUUUCUGUUCUGGCAAGAUCCAAGUGACCAGGGUCCCUGAAAGCCCUUUCUUCGCAUUCAAAUUCAGUGGUCAGGCCUUGGCACUAACCGGCCUGUCCUAGCGUUAGCACAGUGCAUCACUGAGUCUUCUGUGAUGCUGUGUUCAGCUGCUCCUGGUGAUUCACUCUAGACUUUACCUCAUGUCCCAGUGGCUACUUCUGAGUCCUGCUUGCUGGGACUCCUGCCUGAGGACAUUUCUCUGGCAAGGAUCGUCACAAACGUGUGAAAUGUUUGCCCGGGGAAAACACACAGAAUGAAAUGUGAUGCCAGAGCUUACUGCUGUUUUGUCACAUGAGUGUUUUCGACUAAGAUAAGCCAACUUCCCAGAUUCCCAGAGAGAUUAUUUCUUCUGCUGCCGAAAGAAUACCAGGAUGUAGCAGUGGAAAUAGAGAACUUCAACAGUAAACUUGGAUUGGGAAGUCCUAACCUGUAUCUUGUGUCCUGGCAUGCUGGGAGCUCACGUCUUCUGUAAACUGUUGGCAUCUUGGAGUGUGGAGCUUCGAUGAUCUCGGAGCUGGAUAUGGAUGAAGAACCUAGGGAGAGGGGACAGAAAAGGUGUCCCGACUUAAGAACAACCAAAAGGAAGUUCUUUCAGUCACUUGAGUAAAUAUCUCCGCUGAAAGAGUUCAAGAGAUAAGUUAACCGAAGGACAGUUGUCUCUGUUUAUGCAUGCUUUGGAGAUGAUUUGAAGUUGGUGAAACUGAGGCCCAGAGACAGAUACAAUUUUCCUAAGUCAUUGUGACUAUUCCAGCAGCACAUUGGCCAGACAAGCUUUUUAUAGUAGGAGCACAGCUCUGUAAUGAGAACCAACUGGAAAAGAACUACACAACAACUUGCUGCUGUGCCAAGCUCACAUUAUCAUGCUUAUUACUCAUUUAUAUUUAGUCCUCUUAUGGAGACCCUGCAGCAGCGUGACAGAGGACUGUGAUGCUCCCAGGUGAUCUGUCUGGAACAGACAUCACUGUGUCUGGGACAUAGAGAAAAGGGGAUGAGUUACAGAUCCCUGCAGAGUACACACACAGGGACUUUUGGCUGUGCUCAUAUGGACCAUAGAUAUGGUCGAAGAAUAGAGUACUGUGAGAAGACUUCUCAGUGCUUGUGAGAAUAUUCCUAAAAAUCCAGACAUUGGCCUUGUGACCAAAGUUUCCUCAAAAUACCAAAUUGUCCAUGGACUGUGUUUUCAUGCUCCUCCCUGGUGUCUUGGAUAGAGGUCACAGUGCUGAUUUGUCCCUGCCCUUAAUCUGCCUGUUGGGAUCACAGUGAUUCUGGAAGAAUUACAGCACUUUUUAUGUGAUGCUGAUUUUCAGGGUUAAUUUAAUAAAAUUUUGUUCUCUAAUGUUUUGCAGCUAUAAUUAUGUUUCGACAUGUAGUCAUCUUCAUUUUCGCUUAACUUUUUGUAUCCUGUUAAAAACAUUUUGAAUGCAACAUUGAGAUCUGGAUCUUAUAGGAUUUUGACUGCUGAAAUCUUUGAUGUAUGUACAUCAAAGCGCAGGUUAGGGUGUUUAAAACACUUCAUUCCAUCAACUGCUAUUAGUACUCAAAGAAAUAUACAUGUAUGCUUUGG
rnacentral:sRNA from 1 species